GGGAUGUUCCCUGUUCCAAUAUAUAACCAAUGAUAGAGUACAAUUCUGUUUAAUUUCUAAAGCGUGAAUUGAAAAAUAUUAUCGUCACAAUAUAUCCUAGAGUCAGGGGCUUCCAUAUAGAGCUAGAGCUACGUGGGUAUGGUAGCGCUCAUAUGUGCUCUAAGGAUGCGAUUCCUUGAUUGGGGUGAAGCCAGAGUAAUUGUCAAUGAAUGUAUGUUGUGUGUUCCGGUGUGAAGGAUAAUAUCCUAACUAGUGGUCAUGUGUAGGAGUGUGUGGUGUCUGUCUGAUACGAGAUCCAUAAUGCAGGGAUAUGGGGAGCAGUGAGAAGAGGUCCGUACGUACCCAGGGCUUAGUGUAGUCAGUCUACCCCCUUGUAAUCCAUCUGCAACCGAUAGUGACCCUGUCCAUAUGGCAAUCAAGUUGUUUCUAUAGAGAUAGGCUUGUUUGGUCGGAUGUGCGAGAUUUGCAUCCUUUUCCCGUGUGUUAGAGCUCAUCCGGGUUGGGCGCGGUAGUUAUUAACCUAGUUGAGGUUCUUGCUAGUUAUCAUGUUGUCGUGUUGCGGCAUAUCAUGAUGAGGUCAGCCGUAAGGGCCCUUGCUUGGGUCUGUGUAGGUGCGGAGUAUGUGUUUUCUAGGGUUCAUCAGGAGAGGUAUAGUGUCGUGGUGUAUGUGUGUGUUGCUAUAUCUCGGGGCUGCUGCACACGUCCAUUAAUCUGAUUGUCAGCAUUGUCUUAUAGAGGUGAUAUGCGUGCCAUGUCCAGAUGUGCAUAAGAUGCCCCCCCUUGUGGUUCUGUGGGGAUAUGGGUCACGCCCUAAGAGGUCCCCUUUUGACCUAUGGAGUUACUGCGGGUCAGGGUAAUUCGUCGUAUCGGAUGAGAUCUCAUGUUCGUAUUGAAGUGGUGGGGAUGUGUUUAUCCCCCAAACGUUGUGGAUAGAGUGUGAGGUGUAUCGGUUGAAUCUGCGAUCGUCAGGUGAUCAAUACAGAGUGUGGUUCAUGUCGUAUGGGUCUAGUGAGCUCCAUAUCAUCUCCCUGCCCCAGUCCCCCCCCCGGAACCCCCUAAGGUUGCGAGCGGUAUGUAUACCAUGGUGCCCAGGCGUAUAAUGUUGAUAUUUAACUUUAAUCAUCACCAUAACCACUGAAGUCCCGAACCUCCCUUAACAUGUUUGAAAGCUGUGUCUCAUUUUUCCAUGAUGCCCUGAAAGACAGUAUACCAAGCAGCUGUGCAUCCGACGCAGAUUCCAAUAUAAAAAUAGAAAUACAAAUGUAUUUUAAAACGUAUAAACAUAACUAAUAGCUGAAUGUUAGUUAUGUGACAAUGUUGAAUGACAAUUAAUCUGUAACAAACAUAUGUGUUGAUACAUGGUAGAAGCCUAAUAGAUUUUGUUCUAGCUCUUCAAAGUUUAACACUAUGACUCUAACAUAAUAGUAAUGACUACGAAUAUGGAGAUUAGGAGUGUUUGUUCACAAUCCACUAGAGGUGCUUAUGUAUUCAGCAGUGCUCCAUCCCUCAGUUCUCACAGCCUAACAUUGCCAUCCA